CUUUCCUUUUUAAUUACCUGCCUGCCUAUAAACUCUGCCUUUGCUUUGCCCCUUUGAUGUGUUCACGCUUGCUAACUCUGGUCUGUUGUAAACUAUUGACUUAUUCAGUUAUUUCAUUUUUCUUCUUUGUCAAAAUCUUACACUGAUGUUACCCAGAAUACAACCACCAGUUGGAGAUUUGGGUGCAUUAAACUAGUCGCAGCUAAUGUAGCCUCAAGACUACCCUGAAUCAUGACUGAGGAGCAGGGCGGCAGAAUUCUGAUUAUUAUGCUUCUUUUUCAUCCAGAUUCCAUUUCCCUUUCAAUCUUAUAGCAACCGACAACAUAUUUCAACAACUUUUCAGUGUCUUUAAGAAGACA